rnacentral:rRNA from 1 species
AGCGAACGCUGGCGGCAGGCCUAACACAUGCAAGUCGAACGAACCUUUCGGGGUUAGUGGCGGACGGGUGAGUAACACGUGGGAACGUGCCUUUAGGUUCGGAAUAACUCAGGGAAACUUGUGCUAAUACCGAAUGUGCCCUUCGGGGGAAAGAUUAAUCGCCUUUAGAGCGGCCCGCGUCUGAUUAGCUAGUUGGUUGAGGUAAUGGCUCACCAAGGCGACGAUCAGUAGCUGGUCUGAGAGGAUGAUCAGCCACAUUGGGACUGAGACACGGCCCAAACUCCUACGGGAGGCAGCAGUGGGGAAUCUUGCGCAAUAGGCGAAAGCCUGACGCAGCCAUGCCGCGUGAAUGAUGAAGGUCUUAGGAUUGUAAAAUUCUUUCACCGGGGACGAUAAUGACGGUACCCGGAGAAGAAGCCCCGGCUAACUUCGUG